rnacentral:rRNA from 1 species
CCUUUAAAGAAAGCGUAACAGCUCACUUGUCUAAAUAAGUUUUUCUGCGCCGAAAAUGUACCGGGGCUAAAGCUGUAUACCGAAGAUGUGAGUGCUUAUUGAUUUCGAUCAAUAGGCGCGGUAGCGGAGCGUUCCGUAAGUCUGUGAAGGUGGUUUGUGAAAACUGCUGGAGAUAUCGGAAGUGAGAAUGCUGACAUAAGUAGCGUAAAAGAGUGUGAAAAACACUCUCACCAAAAAUCUAAGGGUUCCUACGUUAAGUUAAUCUGCGUAGGGUUAGUCGGUUCCUAAGGCGAGUCCGUAAAGGAGUAGUCGAUGGCAAUUAGGUUAAUAUUCCUAAACCUCUUAAGUGUGACGGGUUUCGUAUUUGUAUAGAUCUUAUUGGAUUGAUCUAUGCUUAAAAGAAGCUCCAGGAAAUAGCACUUAUAUUUAUGAGGCCGUACCGCAAACCGACACUGGUGGAUGAGUAGAGUAUACUAAGGUGUUGAAAGAAUGAUGUUGAAGGAACUCGGCAAAUUAUACCUGUAACUUCGGAAGAAGGGUAACCUGCUUUUAGGCAACUAUGAGUAGGUGGCACAAAAUAGGGAGUAGCGACUGUUUACUAAAAACACAGGACUCUGCAAACACGUAAGUGGAAGUAUAGGGUCUGACGCCUGCCCGGUGCUGGAAGGUUAAUAGGAAGGGUGCAAGCUCCGAAUUGACGCCCCAGUAAACGGCGGCCGUAACACUGACGGUCCUAAGGUAGCGAAAUUCCUUGUCGGGUAAGUUCCGACCCGCACGAAUGGCGUAACGAUUUCUCCACUGUCUCCAACAUCACUUCAGCGAAAUUGAAUUCCCCGUGCAGAUGCGGGGUACCCGCGGUUAGACGAAGAGACCCCGUGCACCUUUACUAUAGCUUUACAUUGCUAUUAAAAGUGUGAUGUGCAGGAUAGGUGGGAGACUUUGAAGUUAUGGCGCUAGCUAUAAUGGAGUCAACCUUGAGAUACCACCCUUUACACUUUUGAUAUCUAACUAUGUUUCAUUAUCUGGAACUAGGACAUUGUAUGGUGGGUAGUUUGACUGGGGCGGUCGCCUCCUAAAAAGUAACGGAGGCGUGCGAAGGUAAGCUAGAGCUG